UUAUAUCUCGUAUAACGACUCGUAUUUAUCCGCAUCUGAGUAUUCAUCGCCAAUACUUUUUCACCCAGUUUCACCCCCUUCGUCCACCCUCAUCUCCGACGACAUAAGUUCUCCAUCGGCGCCUCCCCUCCGACGGCAGCAUCCCUCCCUCGUCAGCUUCCCAUAGACGCAUGAUAUCCUUAACCAUCCCAUCCCUCCCUCUCUAUCCCAUCGUCUAAUUUUAUUUGCUUCCACCAUCGUGGGUCGCUACCAUGGGUAAAUAGAGUAGAGUAGAUAGUGAAGAUGCUAACUUUAACGGACAUUAGUAGGUUGAGGUUACGGUAAUAAUUGAGUUUGCACUUGGUAUUCUUCUACUGAAUUCUACUAGAUUUCUUAGUGGCGGUUUUCACUAAGAUACUCAAGCCCUAAUUCCUUCUUUUGAAACACUGAUAAUUAUCAAUUGGCACAGGUUCAAACAUGAAGAUGUAAAAGUAGAGGCAUGUGAAAGCCAUCAAAAAAACAAAGAAAAAUUCUUCAAGAAUUCUUAUAGAUUCUUAAAGAAUGUAGUAUAUAUUAUAAAUGUUUGUAUAUUCUUAAUGAAUAAUGACAAAUUCUUAAAGAAUGUAGUAUAGAAGGUAGUGUAUAUUCUUUGAAAUGUGGUAUAUAAUCUAGUUUUAUGUUAUAAAAAUGGUUGUAUUAUGUUGUAAGAAUGGUUUGUAUUUUUCAAAUAUAUAUUUCUUGAUUA